UUCAUUCAACAGUUCUUGCUUGUUUAGUUCAUUCAAAUCUCUGAACACAGUCUUUACUUUUUGCUUUUUCAAUUUUUUGUUCAAACAAAAAACAAAAACCAAUCAACAUGAAUUCAAUGGUUACACUCGUUUUGGCAGUCAUUGCUAUCUGUUUAUACAUCGGAGUCCCCAUGGUUGAAGCUGGUUUCCUCGGUGGUGGUUACGGCGGUGGUUAUGGCCGACCCUACGGUGGUGGCUACGGUGGUGGCUACGGUAGUGGAUACGGUGGUGGAUACGGUGGUGGAUACCGACGAGGAUAUGGUGGAUACGGUUACGGUCGAUAGAAACUUUCAUUUCCAAUCCCAAUUAUCAGCUAAGAUUGAGUUCGCGGCAAACAAUCCAUUAACCAAUUUUGAUGUCGUUUAGAUUAUUUUCUUAAUAUUAAUCCUUUUUUAAUCAAUUAUCCUUUACCAUCGACUUGAAAGACAAUUUAACUGUUGAUAGAGAUCGCUAACCUGGUUCGCUUUUUCCAUUAUACUUUGAUAAACAAAGUUAAGAUGUUUAUAAUUUUGUAUUUGAUGUCUUUGAAAAUGGCAACCUCGAUACAGCAACAGAAAUUAAAUUAAAAAGUUCUUGAAUGCAUUAUAA